AUGGAGAGGAGACUGGGAGCUCUGCUGGGGCUUCUGUGUGUUCAGGUUUGCUGGGUGAGAGGGGUGCAGGUGGAGCAGAGUCCUUCAGCCCUGAGUCUCCAGGAGGGAACCAGCCCUACUCUGAGGUGCAAUUUUUCUGCCAGCGUGAACAAUGUGCAGUGGUUCCGACAGAAUCCUGGGGGCGGCCUCAUAAGUCUGUUUUUCAUGGCUUUAGGGACAAAGCAGAGUGGAAGGUUAAAGUCAACAAUGAAUUCUAAGGAACUCUAUAGUACUUUACACAUCACGGCCUCCCAACUGGAAGACUCAGGCACCUACCUCUGUGCGGUGGAGGCACAGUGUCCCCAGCUAACCUGCAGCCCGGACCCAAACUGCAGCUGGCACUGCAGCCCCACUUCUUCCACAGGGGAGCACGUUGUCCCUGCAGUAGCGUUUGCAUGGCUCUGGGUUUUCUGA